AUCGACAUUUCUACCUGUGGCAUACCUGAAGACUUCCACUGUCUCCAGAUAUCGUCCGAAGAUAUCAUCCAGCUCCUCGCAGAAAGCUCGCGUUGUCAACAAAGAACUUCGUCGUUGCUCCAUUUCAACACCACCACCACUAAUCUCAAUUGGUGUUUCCAAACAAAAUGGCAUUCCCAAGAAGACCCCCUCGAAGUGGAGGUGCCUGUGGUGACGAUUUGGUAGAAGCCAUGGCUACCAUGGUGAAAGCGACAGAAAGCCGUGUCCCGAAACCAAUGCUGGAUGCCCUUGUAUUUAACACUUAUGACAAAUUCUUCACCUGGGCACGGAAGCAAAAUGAAGAUGAAGCCUCAGCCUUGGCGACAGAAGAAGGGUACUUAAAACAAGUUGCUGCUGAAAAGAACAAAUUGACAAGCCUAAAAGAAGAAUUGCUGCCAUACCAAGAACGCCUACUAGCACUCGUGCCAGAGGAACUUAGGGAGGAGUUCGUCAAGAGGACUGAGGCAAAGGUGGCAAAGAUGAUGGAGGCCACCAAGUUUGACUGAGGACCAACAUCUAACAAGCUCAUGGCUGAUUCAUCUUCCUUCAAGUUGAACUUUUAUUUUUUGUAUUUUUUUACACCCUUUUUUAAACAGUGUAAUACAAAAGCUACAGUGGGAAUGUACAUACGGCUUGAUCCUACGAAGACACUUGAUACUAUGCUACUUUUUAUUUUUUAAUUAUUUUUUUACUCAAGGUUUGUAGCGCUUGUCUUUGAAAAAUAAAAAAAGAUGUUCCUCA